rnacentral:rRNA from 1 species
AUGUUGAGAGUCAUCAUCUCCCUCCUCCCAAUCAAAUAUGGGGCACGGACAACCCUCCUUUCCCGGCGGUGGCGCCCCCUAUGGAACUCCAGCCCUCUCGACCUCAUCAACACCCACGAGCUCUGCCAUGGCUAUCGCAAAAGCUUGGAUGCGUUCUCCAAGAUCCUCGGCAGUCACCUUGGCCCAAACAAAGGCUUUAGAAUGGGAAAGUUCCGUUCCAACGGCAAGGACCGAGCCAAGCUUGACGACUGGUUCCGAUCCCCCGCCCUAGAUCAGCUCGAGGAGCUCACUUUUGAUGAUGGCCAUCUGCGGUCGCUGCCAACGUCCGCACUCCACCUCGUGCCCACGCUGCGCGUCGCCAAGUUCAGGAACUGCCAUUUCCCGCCCCUUAAUGACGCGCCCGCUCUUAUUCUACCGCGACUGAAGCACCUCGAGCUCGUCGUCGUUUGCUUCUCAAAGGGUGACAUGGAGCGCCUGCUCCGUGGCUGUACUGCGCUCGAGUACCUUCGUCUUCAGGCGAUCAAUGGGUUGAGUACCUUCCACAUCACCUCCAUGACUCUCCGGACUAUUUAUGUGUGUUGCUGGUGCGGCAGGAAGACAUCACAAAAGGUGGACCUUGGUAUGGUCAUCCAGGACACACCUGCACUCGAGAGAUUACUUGUAGUUGAUCAAGAAGGUCCAACAAGAAUCAAUGUCAUUUCUGUGCCGAAAUUGACAGUGGUGGGCUACUCAUUUGACAAAUACCCCGAACUUGUUAUUGGAUCCACACCCGUUCAGAAAAUGAUUCCGACAAGCUUGACCCCGAAACACCGCACAGUGAAGGUCUUGGCACUAGAAUCUAUCGGGCCCGACCUGGAGCAAGUUGUCAGUUUCCUGAGAUGCUUUCCAUGCCAGGAGAAGCUAUAUAUCGAGGUUCUUUUGGAGGAUUUCAGUACAUACAUCCCCCCCCAUAGAUAA